UUCCAGAGUCUUCAAAUCAGAUUCCCCACAAGGUGUGCAUGCUGCAUUUGGUUGUUAUGUUGGAGGCAUUCUGAAGUAUCACAGCUUUCUACCAUUUGAAAUGAGAGGGCCAGCCUGAGAAGCCAUGUGCUCACCUGAAAUUAGUUAUUUUACAGAAGAGAUCCAAACUGCCAGUUCUGUAUGUCCACUACAAGCCUGGAGUGUGCAGGCACCAAGUAGCAAGGAUAGACCAUGCCCUUCUGCAUCAAAUAUUUGAUGUCAAACUAUGUGAUAUCCCAUUUAUCAUUAAUUAAUCACCCUAGAAUAA